rnacentral:lncRNA from 1 species
CCCCACCAGGCCCCCCCGGCCCACGAGGUGCUCCUGGCUCUCAGGGAAGAGCAGGAGAGCCGGGUCCUCGGGGGUUCCCAGGGCUGCCGGGAGCUCCUGGUGUGCGGGGGCUGCACGGCAUGCCUGGGAAGCCUGGCUUAGCGGGGGAAAUGGGGGCACCUGGAGCAGCAGGGGCUGCCGGCCCUCCUGGGUACCCGGGCCGAGAAGGUCCAAGAGGACCUGAGGGGCCUUCAGGGAUGCGAGGCGAGCAGGGUGUCCUGGGGUAUCCUGGGGAAGCUGGUGUCAGUGGGUUGGAUGGGCCAGGUUGGUGUCAGUGGUGCCAUAGGACCCGCCGGAGCCCGGGGACGUUCUGUGAGUCAGCACAUCCCCAUCCCAUUGGGGUGGCUGCAGACCCUGGCAAUGGGACACCUGUGAGCGGGAUGCUGGGCUGCAGCCUGGCUCUAGUGGGUCAGUGGAUCUUUUUCUCUGCCCCAAACAGGGUGGGAUAG